rnacentral:rRNA from 1 species
CUGCGAAUACCGGAGAAUGUUAUCACGGGAGACACACGGCGGGUGCUAACGUCCGUCGUGAAGAGGGAAACAACCCAGACCGCCAGCUAAGGUCCCAAAGUCAUGGUUAAGUGGGAAACGAUGUGGGAAGGCCCAGACAGCCAGGAUGUUGGCUUAGAAGCAGCCAUCAUUUAAAGAAAGCGUAAUAGCUCACUGGUCGAGUCGGCCUGCGCGGAAGAUGUAACGGGGCUAAACCAUGCACCGAAGCUGCGGCAGCGACGCUGAUGCGUUGUUGGGUAGGGGAGCGUUCUGUAAGCCUGUGAAGGUGGCCUGUGAGGGUUGCUGGAGGUAUCAGAAGUGCGAAUGCUGACAUAAGUAACGAUAAAGCGGGUGAAAAGCCCGCUCGCCGGAAGACCAAGGGUUCCUGUCCAACGUUAAUCGGGGCAGGGUGAGUCGACCCCUAAGGCGAGGCCGAAAGGCGUAGUCGAUGGGAAACGGGUUAAUAUUCCCGUACUUGGUGUUACUGCGAAGGGGGGACGGAGAAGGCUAUGUUGGCCGGGCGACGGUUGUCCCGGUUUAAGCGUGUAGGUGUGUGUUCCAGGUAAAUCCGGUUCACUUUAACACUGAGGCGUGAUGACGAGGCACUACGGUGCUGAAGCAACAAAUGCCCUGCUUCCAGGAAAAGCCUCUAAGCAUCAGGUAACAUCAAAUCGUACCCCAAACCGACACAGGUGGUCAGGUAGAGAAUACCAAGGCGCUUGAGAGAACUCGGGUGAAGGAACUAGGCAAAAUGGUGCCGUAACUUCGGGAGAAGGCACGCUGACACGUAGGUGAAGUGAUUUACUCAUGGAGCUGAAGUCAGUCGAAGAUACCAGCUGGCUGCAACUGUUUAUUAAAAACACAGCACUGUGCAAACACGAAAGUGGACGUAUACGGUGUGACGCCUGCCCGGUGCCGGAAGGUUAAUUGAUGGGGUCAGCGCAAGCGAAGCUCCUGAUCGAAGCCCCGGUAAACGGCGGCCGUAACUAUAACGGUCCUAAGGUAGCGAAAUUCCUUGUCGGGUAAGUUCCGACCUGCACGAAUGGCGUAAUGAUGGCCAGGCUGUCUCCACCCGAGACUCAGUGAAAUUGAACUCGCUGUGAAGAUGCAGUGUACCCGCGGCAAGACGGAAAGACCCCGUGAACCUUUACUAUAGCUUGACACUGAACAUUGAGCCUUGAUGUGUAGGAUAGGUGGGAGGCUUUGAAGCGUGGACGCCAGUCUGCAUGGAGCCGGCCUUGAAAUACCACCCUUUAAUGUUUGAUGUUCUAACGUGGACCCGUGAUCCGGGUUGCGGACAGUGUCUGGUGGGUAGUUUGACUGGGGCGGUCUCCUCCUAAAGAGUAACGGAGGAGCACGAAGGUUGGCUAAUCCUGGUCGGACAUCAGGAGGUUAGUGCAAUGGCAUAAGCCAGCUUGACUGCGAGCGUGACGGCGCGAGCAGGUGCGAAAGCAGGUCAUAGUGAUCCGGUGGUUCUGAAUGGAAGGGCCAUCGCUCAACGGAUAAAAGGUACUCCGGGGAUAACAGGCUGAUACCGCCCAAGAGUUCAUAUCGACGGCGGUGUUUGGCACCUCGAUGUCGGCUCAUCACAUCCUGGGGCUGAAGUAGGUCCCAAGGGUAUGGCUGUUCGCCAUUUAAAGUGGUACGCGAGCUGGGUUUAGAACGUCGUGAGACAGUUCGGUCCCUAUCUGCCGUGGGCGCUGGAGAACUGAGGGGGGCUGCUCCUAGUACGAGAGGACCGGAGUGGACGCAUCACUGGUGUUCGGGUUGUCAUGCCAAUGGCACUGCCCGGUAGCUAAAUGCGGAAGAGAUAAGUGCUGAAAGCAUCUAAGCACGAAACUUGCCCCGAGAUGAGUUCUCCCUGAGACUUAGAGUCUCCUGAAGGAACGUUGAAGACGACGACGUUGAUAGGCCGGGUGUGUAAGCGCAGCGAUGCGUUGAGCUAACCGGUACUAAUGAACCGUGAGGCUUAACCUUACAACGCCGAAG